CGGGGCGUGGCGCAGUUGGUUUAGCGCACCUGAAUGGGGUUCAGGGGGCCGCUGGUUCGAAUCCAGUCGCCCCGACCA
rnacentral:tRNA from 1 species